AUGCAGAGAAAUGACAUGUGGUCUGAAAAGAGUUGCUUAAUCUGCAUGGUUUGAGAGGCGCACACGUUUUCACGGUGUCUAUGGUGUCAACUGAAGAGAGAGAGAGAGAGAUAUGUACGAAAUAAACGACAAAGACAUCUG